rnacentral:rRNA from 1 species
GAUGAACGCUGGCGGCGUGCCUAACACAUGCAAGUCGAGCGAUUUACUUCGGUAAAGAGCGGCGGACGGGUGAGUAACGCGUGGGUAACCUGCCCUGUACACACGGAUAACAUACUGAAAGGUAUGCUAAUACGGGAUAAAAUAAGAGAGUUGCAUGGCUUUCUUAUCAAAGCUUUUGCGGUACAGGAUGGACCCGCGGCUGAUUAGCUAGUUGGUAAGUUUACGGCUUACCAAGGCGACGAUCAGUAGCCGACCUGAGAGGGUGAUCGGCCACAUUUGAACGGAGACACGGUCCAAACUCCUACGGGAGGCAGCAGUGGGGAAUAUUGCACAAUGGGCGAAAGCCUGAUGCAGCAACGCCGCGUGAGCGAUGAAGGCCUUCGGGUCGUAAAGCUCUGUCCUCAAGGAAGAUAAUGACGGUACUUGAGGAAGAAGCCCCGGCUAACUACGUGCCAGCCGCCGCGGUAA